rnacentral:lncRNA from 1 species
AUUCUUUUGGAAAGAGAUUAACAAGAAAAUAGUGUCACGCAAACAAGAAUGAGGGAGUACCGUAUUUUCUAUAGCUAAUCAUUAUCACUUUGUUAACAAUAAUAUUUGCUUUUAGUCAAAGCAAGACAAAACUCUCGGCCUGCACUACAGCAAACGUGCCUUUAACACAAGAUAAAACGAAAUAAGCACGGAGAGAGGCAAGCAGAACAUAAUAUCGCCCAUAUACCAAUAACGAUUACUUAAACUCAAUCAAAAGGAACUAUCACCGGCGUAAUGGAAUUAAAAAAUACAGCAAUAGAGAGGGGAGAAAAAACCUAGAGUAUUGCUGGCAGAAUACACAAAAAUCCUGUCGUAUACGACGUUCACGAUAGGAGUUUUGUUCUUUAAUUUACUUGUAAAGAAUAACAAAGAAAAAAAUAUCAGACAUAAUAGUUUUAGAAGCCAAAUAUCACAAUCUACUAAAUUUUAAAACAAAUAUGUUGGCUCAAGCCUAAGUCCAUUAAAGCAAUUGCUACGCCUAGAAAAUUAAAUUUCCCAAGUGGACCAAAUUUGGUUAUUUUCUUCACUAGUGAAGGUAUCCCGGGUUAUGCCCGGGACCAACGACUAUUUUAAUAUUGUUGUUAAUAUUGUUGUUAAUAUUAUUAUCAAAUGUCACUCGCUUUUGCAUUUAAAUCCGGCAUGUUGAUUCUGCAUAGGUGAUAUAUUUAUACCAUCGAGUGCUAUUUGCAACAGGUUGGCCAUCUUUUUUGGCGAGUUAAUGAGCAAUCCAAUGUAUAUGUAUUACAACAUCCAGAUUAAAGCAUAAAUUUGUACAAAAAUUUUAGACAACACAAAUAAUAUGUAUCAGAUUAUAAAUUACUCCAUCGCAAUGGGAGAAGGGGAUUGCGCUUGCUGUCAUAGGAAAAUGCAUUGUACGUUAAUGCCGUUUUGAUAUUUGUAAAUCACAAAUACUAAAUUUACUCCAGCUAGUUUGGCAAUAAAAGCACUACUUUACUGCAAGUGAUAGAAGAAAAAUAAUGCAAGCAAUUAGAUAAUUUUGUAGUAAAGCUAUCAAUACUAAAUUGAAAGAACCCUGGUGUAUAAGAGAGAUCCCAGAAUGUUGAAUUUUCCUUGUAGUAAUACCAAGCAUACAAUUCAAGUUCCAGCCUAAGCUCUACAGUAUAUCCUAGCUAUAUAAACAUUUUAUUUGUUUUUAAUGAAUAUCUCAGUUGUUCGUGUUGUAACCAACUAAUGAGCAUAAUAUAAUAUAAAUUCUAAUGUUCUUUUGAAUCUUCAGAGAAAAAGAAACAUAAAAAAGAAAGUGAGCUUAGAUAAAUGCACUAGAGAGAGAUAUAGUCAGAGCUUUUAUUUUCUUCAUGUCAACAGAAAGCACAUGCAGGUAAGUAUAUAAGAAAGGUGUUACUCUGUAAACAUUUGAAACGGGGGUGUUUUUAAUCUCCAAAGUUGUGAAUAGAAAUACAAAAUAAUACACAUAUGGUUUUAUGAUAUUCCAUAAGAUCUUUAAAACAAAUUUAAGCAUCUACCACCAAAUACGAUAAAGAAUCAAUUAAACUAAUAGAUUUUGUAGAUAUUGGUAUCUACUGAUUUUGCUAAGUUACACCUUGGUAUAUCUGCACCUUCAGUAGCGGUUACAUGACUAAGACAACAAAUGAAAUAUGAAAAGACAAAUUACCUUGAGAUAUGGCGUAAAUUGCAAUAGAUAAGGAAUUCAGAAUGGAGAGACCUUUGUUUUCAUGAACGUCAAGUUUUUAGUGAUUCCCGGAGAGCAAAACCAAGAGCUUCAAUUUGAAGUGGUGAGAGCUUGUCGAGCAAGUUCAAACGUCAGAAAAAUAGCCUUUCAGUUGACGUACAAGCUGCAGGAGAUGCCAACAAUUUAUAUCAGCCUUCGAAACUCGGUGGAUAAUGGGUCCACCCUCUACCCUUCUCCACUUAAAUACCAGGCUAUGCUUUGCAUGUUGUGGGGGCUUGAACCUUUGACCUGGGACGCAAAUCCACCACCUUUUUCCACUUGAGCUAUGCCCUCAAUUAUUUUAAUGUUAAAAGGAAAAAAAAUAGAGAUUAAAAUGAACCAUGUUGAAUUGAAUACUAUAAUUGAAAAAAUUGUCGGAUCUGAAGAUAAUAUUCGUUUGUCUUUACACAAAGUCAUCUGAAACACAAAUAUUUAUAACUUAACCCAAUAGUUAAGAUGAGAAUGUGAAUAUGGAAGCAAGUGAGAAAGAAGUACACUAUUUAUAUUCCUUUUUGUCUCAUUUUAACCAACUUUAUAAUUAUUUGAGCAAAGUUGUGAAUGAGUCUGCUUCAAGCAGUAGUUGUUUCUUUUCAAUAGUCUGUGAAUCUUGCAUAUAUUAUGCCAUUCAACAACGUUAAUCUAUUUCUUAUCAGUUUCAGUCUCCCUUUCCUCAAAAUUUAAACAACAAGAACAUUUAAAAUCUUUAGGAGAUAUACUAAAGAAUUGUUCCUUUUACAUGUUAGUGGCUUCAAUUUUUCUCCUGUAGAUGCAAAAACUCCAGUAAAUUCAAGGAAAUUUAUUCAUGAUGUUAACAGUUCAUAGACCAAAAGGACUUACACACAGCACAAAACAGUCCAAAAAACAUCAUAAGCACAACUAUAAAACAGAAUUUCUAACCUCUCUGGAGUUCAAAUUAAUACUCAUAGAACCAAACUUAAUUUGUCUAUAUUUCCCCUAUUUUAAGGUUUCUUAGGCUCAGGCGGUGGCAAUUUAAAAUAGUAAAAUUUCUCAACUGUCCUCGCCAUUCUCAAAUACUUUACUCCUUUCUAGUCGGCAAUUUCUCAAAUACCUCUAGUGCAAGUCUGGAUGUUGUGUCUAAAUCAUAAACUUAAAUUCAUCCUUAUUGCACUUUAAAAGAGUUGAAACAUGUGGAAAUUAAGAUUAAAUCAUGAGAAGCGCGAAACGAAGCACGAAAAACAGAGGCAUAAUAUAUCACCAAUUACGUUUGAAUUUCAGACGAAAGCAAGCUAAUCUUCCAUGGAAGAUUUAAAACAACAUAAGGAGACAUUCUUCACAGUGGAAACCAACACAAUCUUAAUCCAGAUAACACUGAUAUUCAGAAAAGGUUGGAUAAACAAAGGAAAAAGUCAUUUUAGUCAGCUAAAGUCAACCCGGUCCAAGAGCUUCUUAAUUACCCCAACCAGGCAUGGUACCAAACCAGUAAAGGCAUUCCAAAAUUUCACAUAGAAAACAUGUUUGUAUUCCUCAUUUCAAAAAGAUAUGAAUAUAAAUUAAUCCUUUUCCUAAACAACCAAUCGUUGUUCCAACCUCACCCCCAUAAAAAGAAAACAGAAAACCACUGCCCAACAACUUUACAUAAUUUAAACAAUUUCAAUACGGCAAAACUGGAAUUGUGAAAACAAAAUUAAUAAUAACGCGUGCAACCCCCAAAAAAAGUUUGGAUAGUUAAAGAAAAAAGCUAGACAAAACAGAACUGACCGUAUAAUUGUACGUAAAUUGAGCAGUGCAACAGAGAAGACUGCAAUUAAUGAAAAAGGGAGGAGAAAUUGAGACAGUAUUAGAAUACGAAGAAAGAAACUGUAGAGGCAGGUCGUUGAGUUUGAUCUAAUUACUAGGAGAAUUUGAUAGCAAACUCAAAUUCAAUUCUGGACGUGGAAACGCUGGGGGCAAAU